rnacentral:rRNA from 1 species
UACGGGGGAGCAAGCGUUGUUCGGAUUUACUGGGCGUAAAGGGCGCGUAGGCGGCACCGCAAGUCGACUGUGAAAUCUCCGGGCUUAACUCGGAAAGGUCAGCCGAUACUGCGGGGCUAGAGUGCAGAAGGGGCAACUGGAAUUCUCGGUGUAGCGGUGAAAUGCGUAGAUAUCGAGAGGAACACCUGCGGCGAAGGCGGGUUGCUGGGCUGACACUGACGUGAGACGCGAAAGCGUGGGGAGCGAACAGG